CCUACGGGAGGCAGCAGUGAGGAAUAUUGGUCAAUGGACGAGAGUCUGAACCAGCCAAGUAGCGUGAAGGAUGACUGCCCUAUGGGUUGUAAACUUCUUUUAUAAAGGAAUAAAACGAGGCACGUGUGCCUUUUUGCAUGUACUUUAUGAAUAAGGAUCGGCUAACUCCGUGCCAGCAGCCGCGGUAAUACGGAGGAUCCGAGCGUUAUCCGGAUUUAUUGGGUUUAAAGGGAGCGUAGAUGGGUUGUUAAGUCAGUUGUGAAAGGUUGCGGCUCAACCGUAAAAUUGCAAUUGAUACUGGCAGUCUUGAGUACAGUUGAGGUAAGCGGAAUUCGUGGUGUAGCGGUGAAAUGCUUAGAUAUCACGAAGAACCCCGAUUGCGAAGGCAGCUUACUAAACUGUGACUGACAUUGAUGCUCGAAAGUGUGGGUAUCAAACAGGAUUAGAUACCCCAGUAGUC
rnacentral:rRNA from 1 species